GAUGGACCCGCGUCUGAUUAGCCAGUUGGCAGGGUAACGGCCUACCAAAGCGACGAUCAGUAGCCGGCCUGAGAGGGUGAACGGCCACAUUGGGACUGAGACACGGCCCAGACUCCUGCGGGAGGCAGCAGUGGGGAAUAUUGCACAAUGGGGGAAACCCUGAUGCAGCGACGCCGCGUGAGUGAAGAAGUAUUUCGGUAUGUAAAGCUCUAUCAGCAGGGAAGAAAAUGACGGUACCUGACUAAGAAGCCCCGGCUAACUACGUGCCAGCAGCCGCGGUAAUACGUAGGGGGCAAGCGUUAUCCGGAUUUACUGGGUGUAAAGGGAGCGUAGACGGUGAUGCAAGUCAGAAGUGAAAGCCCGGGGCUCAACUCCGGGACUGCUUUUGAAACUGUGUGACUGGAGUGCAGGAGAGGUAAGCGGAAUUCCUGGUGUAGCGGUGAAAUGCGUAGAUAUCAGGAGGAACACCAGUGGCGAAGGCGGCUUACUGGACUGUAACUGACGUUGAGGCUCGAAAGCGUGGGGAGCAAACAGGAUUAGAUACCCUGGUAGUCCACGCCGUAAACGAUGAGUAUUAGGUGUCGG
rnacentral:rRNA from 1 species